rnacentral:rRNA from 1 species
AUUGAACGCUGGCGGCAUGCUUUACACAUGCAAGUCGAACGGUAACAGGGUGCUUGCACCGCUGACGAGUGGCGAACGGGUGAGUAAUGCGUCGGAACGUGCCGAGUAGUGGGGGAUAACGCAGCGAAAGUUGUGCUAAUACCGCAUACGUACUGAGGUAGAAAGUGGGGGACCUUCGGGCCUCACGCUAUUCGAGCGGCCGACGUCUGAUUAGCUAGUAGGUGAGGUAAGAGCUCACCUAGGCGACGAUCAGUAGCGGGUCUGAGAGGAUGAUCCGCCACACUGGGACUGAGACACGGCCCAGACUCCUACGGGAGGCAGCAGUGGGGAAUUUUGGACAAUGGGCGCAAGCCCGAUCCAGCCAUGCCGCGUGUCUGAAGAAGGCCUUCGGGUUGUAAAGGACUUUUGUCAGGGAGGAAAUCCUAGUGGCUAAUAACUGCUGGGGAUGACAGUACCUGAAGAAUAAGCACCGGCUAACUACGUGCCAGCCGCCGCGGUAACAC